rnacentral:snRNA from 1 species
AUCGCUUCUUGGCCUUUUGGCUAAGAUCAAGUGUAGUAUCUGUUCUUACCCAUUUAAUGUCUGAUACAUCCUAAAAUUGAAAAAAUUUAACAAAAAGAGAUGGUUUAUACAUAUACAGGCAAAUUCUUUCUGUCUGUCUUCCUCUUUUGUUGUUGCCCCACAAAUGGCAGCACAGUGGACAAGCC